rnacentral:rRNA from 1 species
GACGAACGCUGGCGGCGUGCUUAACACAUGCAAGUCGAACGGAAAGGCCCUGCUUUUGUGGGGUGCUCGAGUGGCGAACGGGUGAGUAACACGUGAGUAACCUGCCCUUGACUUUGGGAUAACUUCAGGAAACUGGGGCUAAUACCGGAUAGGAGCUCCUGCUGCAUGGUGGGGGUUGGAAAGUUUCGGCGGUUGGGGAUGGACUCGCGGCUUAUCAGCUUGUUGGUGGGGUAGUGGCUUACCGAGGCUUUGACGGGUAGCCGGCCUGAGAGGGUGACCGGCCACAUUGGGACUGAGAUACGGCCCAGACUCCUACGGGAGGCAGCAGUGGGGAAUAUUGCACAAUGGGCGGAAGCCUGAUGCAGCAACGCCGCGUGCGGGAUGACGGCCUUCGGGUUGUAAACCGCUUUCGCCUGUGACGAAGCGUGAGUGACGGUAAUGGGUAAAGAAGCACCGGCUAACUAGGUG